UAAAAUGAGAGUUUGAUCCUGGCUCAGGACGAACGCUGGCGGCGUGCCUAAUACAUGCAAGUCGAACGAAACUUUCUUACACCGAAUGCUUGCAUUCACCGUAAGAAGUUGAGUGGCGGACGGGUGAGUAACACGUGGGUAACCUGCCUAAAAGAAGGGGAUAACACUUGGAAACAGGUGCUAAUACCGUAUAUCUCUAAGGAUCGCAUGAUCCUUAGAUGAAAGAUGGUUCUGCUAUCGCUUUUAGAUGGACCCGCGGCGUAUUAACUAGUUGGUGGGGUAACGGCCUACCAAGGUGAUGAUACGUAGCCGAACUGAGAGGUUGAUCGGCCACAUUGGGACUGAGACACGGCCCAAACUCCUACGGGAGGCAGCAGUAGGGAAUCUUCCACAAUGGACGCAAGUCUGAUGGAGCAACGCCGCGUGAGUGAAGAAGGUCUUCGGAUCGUAAAACUCUGUUGUUAGAGAAGAACACGAGUGAGAGUAACUGUUCAUUCGAUGACGGUAUCUAACCAGCAAGUCACGGCUAACUACGUGCCAGCAGCCGCGGUAAUACGUAGGUGGCAAGCGUUGUCCGGAUUUAUUGGGCGUAAAGGGAACGCAGGCGGUCUUUUAAGUCUGAUGUGAAAGCCUUCGGCUUAACCGGAGUAGUGCAUUGGAAACUGGAAGACUUGAGUGCAGAAGAGGAGAGUGGAACUCCAUGUGUAGCGGUGAAAUGCGUAGAUAUAUGGAAGAACACCAGUGGCGAAAGCGGCUCUCUGGUCUGUAACUGACGCUGAGGUUCGAAAGCGUGGGUAGCAAACAGGAUUAGAUACCCUGGUAGUCCACGCCGUAAACGAUGAAUGCUAGGUGUUGGAGGGUUUCCGCCCUUCAGUGCCGCAGCUAACGCAAUAAGCAUUCCGCCUGGGGAGUACGACCGCAAGGUUGAAACUCAAAGGAAUUGACGGGGGCCCGCACAAGCGGUGGAGCAUGUGGUUUAAUUCGAAGCAACGCGAAGAACCUUACCAGGUCUUGACAUCCUUUGACCACCUAAGAGAUUAGG
rnacentral:rRNA from 1 species